rnacentral:rRNA from 1 species
UACAGAGGUGCCGAGCGUUAGGCGGAAUCACUGGGCUUAAAGCGUGUGUAGGCGGAUUCCUAAGUACCUUGUGAAAUCCCACGGCUUAACCGUGGAACUGCUUGGUAUACUGGGUGUCUUGAGCCACUUAGGGGCGACCGGAACAAACGGUGGAGCGGUGAAAUGCGUAGAUAUCGUUUGGAACGCCAAUGGUGAAAACAGGUCGCUGGGAGUGUGCUGACGCUGAGACACGAAAGCCAGGGGAGCGAACGGG